AUUGAACGCUGGCGGCAUGCUUUACACAUGCAAGUCGAACGGUAACAGGCCUUCGGGUGCUGACGAGUGGCGAUCGGGUGAGUAAUGCAUCGGAACGUGCCCAAUCGUAGGGGAUAACGUAGCGAAAGUUACGCUAAUACCGCAUAAGCCCUGAGGGGGAAAGUGGGGACCGCAAGGCCUCACGCGAAUGGAGCGGCCGAUGUCAGAUUAGCUAGUUGGUGGGGUAAAGGCCCACCAAGGCGACGAUCUGUAGCGGGUCUGAGAGGAUGAUCCGCCACACUGGGACUGAGACACGGCCCAGACUCCUACGGGAGGCAGCAGUGGGGAAUUUUGGACAAUGGGCGCAAGCCUGAUCCAGCCAUGCCGCGUGCGGGACGAA
rnacentral:rRNA from 1 species